AUGUCCGUCUUUAAAAUUCUUCAAAAAAUUGCAAAGAAAUCAUUGUCGCGAUGGCGCAUUUUCUGGUGGUGUGACGAGGACAAUCAGAAGAGGAUGCAUUGGAUGGCCUGAUGAAAGAUGUGUGUCCCAAAAAAUCAAGGAGGUAUGGGCUUCAGAGAUAUACAAUGUUUCAACCUAGCAUUGUUAGCUAAACAAGCGUGGCGUCUUCUAGAUAAUCCUGAUUCUUUAUGUGCGACUAUAUUGAGAGCUAAGUAUUUCCCUCACUGUGAUUUGGUGAAUGCAACUUAA
rnacentral:rRNA from 1 species